rnacentral:lncRNA from 10 species
CCGUCUAGAUGGGAGUGAUAAGGACCAAGUAUCCCUGGGAGAAGAAAACAGCUCUGGUAGCAGAUCACUCAAGCCCGGGAGGUGUAGGCUGCAGUGAGCUAUGAUGGUGCCACUGUACUUCAGCCUGGGCAACAGAGACCCCAUCUCUUAAAAACAAACAAAAAAAAGCUCUAAGAUCUAGUGCCACCUCCUACAGGUAGGCACCCGGCGUUCUAGGUACCCUGCUAGACCAGCCCUUCCCUGACUCCACCCUGCUGUAGAAUGAUGGCCUCUUUCUUUC